GGAGUUAGCCGGUGCUUCUUCUGUGAGUGAUGUCCUUCCUGCCGGCUAUUAACCCGCAGUCCUUCUUCCUCACUGAAAGUGCUUUACAACCCGAAGGCCUUCUUCACACACGCGGCAUGGCUGGAUCAGGGUUGCCCCCAUUGUCCAAUAUUCCCCACUGCUGCCUCCCGUAGGAGUCUGGGCCGUGUCUCAGUCCCAGUGUGGCUGAUCAUCCUCUCAGACCAGCUACGGAUCGUCGCCUUGGUGAGCCGUUACCUCACCAACCAGCUAAUCCGACAUAGGCUCAUCCGAUAGCGCGAGGCCCGAAGGUCCCCCGCUUUCCCCCGUAGGGCGUAUGCGGUAUUAGCCUGGGUUUCCCCAGGUUAUCCCCCACUACCGGGCAGAUUCCUAUGCAUUACUCACCCGUCCGCCGCUCGCCACCAUGGAGCAAGCUCCCCGUGCUGCCGCUCGACUUGCAUGUGUUAGGCCUGCCGCCAGCGUUCAAUCUGAGCCAGAAUCAAACUCUGA
rnacentral:rRNA from 1 species